ensembl:lncRNA
GCGGUCUCCAACCUUUUUUGCGCCACGGACCGGUUUAUGCCCGACAAUAUUUUCACGGACCGGCCUUUAAGGUGUCGCGGAUAAAUGAGGGAGGGGCUAAUAAUCGGCUCAGUCAUUUUUAAUGAUCGUUGAAAGCCCAGAUCGUAAUCGUGAUUAAAAUUCGAUUAAUUGAGCAGCCCUAGCAUAAACAGUUUAUUUUGCGAUAGCACGAAACAAACAAUAGUGUAAAAUGAAACGAUAGAUGUUUUUAUAUCAUCAUCCGAUAUAUAUCGUUAUAUCGAACAGCCCUAAUAUGAACUUAUUUAGAACUUACCAGAAUGAAAAUAUCUGUAGCACAACAACAGAUAUCUGUGGAUGGUAGAGAACUGGAUAUCAACUCAUCUCACAGCUGCUAUCCAGGCUAGAUGCCUUCUUUUGGUAACAACCACUACAUAAGCUCCCUCACGUUGCUUUCAGGCUGGGAAAGAAUAAAAAGACAGCCUAUUUUCAAGCUUAUUCCCUCCCCGAUCGUGCGAUCUAACAUUAAAACCCACAACACAGCAAAGCGAACCACUGCUGAUGCAUUCGCUCCUUAAGCCCUUUGUUUGGCCAGCUAAAAUGGCGCCCCGGCGGCCACGCCCCCUCCCGUGACAUCACGUUCCAAAGCCCGAUAACACCAAAUUUAAAAAAAAAAAAAAAGAAUGUUACUGUUACAUUAUGUUAUGACAUCAUUAUGAUGAUCAAAGGCAUUUCAUAUGCCUUUGAUCAGUGAAUCCUUAAGUAGGGGUAAGAAUUCCAAACUUUCAGUCAGUUUAUUUGCAACACUCGAGAUUGCAGCAUUCAAAGGUAAACCUGAGAAACAUUUUAAAACAGUUGAAUCUUUAACACAGUCACUUCAUCAACACUCUAACAUGUCUCAGAGUAAACACGGCGGAGGUCAACAAGCUUACGCUGGCUUUACUACAAUGGACCACCAAAAUCCAGAGCCAAAUUCUGAAGAAACACAUUUCCAGCUUCCACUCAAGAGGAAGCGAGGCCCGGAUUAUGCUGCACAGAAUUGCAGAAGUCCCGACAGCUGCUCUCCACCAAGGAAAAA